GUCGAGCGGUUGAGGGGAGCUUGCUUCCCGAUUCAGCGGCGGACGGGUGAGUAAUGCCUAGGAAUCUGCCUGGUAGUGGGGGACAACGUUUCGAAAGGAACGCUAAUACCGCAUACGUCCUACGGGAGAAAGCAGGGGACCUUCGGGCCUUGCGCUAUCAGAUGAGCCUAGGUCGGAUUAGCUAGUUGGUGGGGUAAAGGCUCACCAAGGCGACGAUCCGUAACUGGUCUGAGAGGAUGAUCAGUCACACUGGAACUGAGACACGGUCCAGACUCCUACGGGAGGCAGCAGUGGGGAAUAUUGGACAAUGGGCGAAAGCCUGAUCCAGCCAUGCCGCGUGUGUGAAGAAGGUCUUCGGAUUGUAAAGCACUUUAAGUUGGGAGGAAGGGCAUUAACCUAAUACGUUGGUGUUUUGACGUUACCGACAGAAUAAGCACCGGCUAACUCUGUGCCAGCAGCCGCGGUAAUACAGAGGGUGCAAGCGUUAAUCGGAAUUACUGGGCGUAAAGCGCGCGUAGGUGGUUUGUUAAGUUGAAUGUGAAAUCCCCGGGCUCAACCUGGGGACUGCAUCCAAAACUGGCAAGCUAGAGUAGGGUAGAGGGUGGUGGAAUUUCCUGUGUAGCGGUGAAAUGCGU
rnacentral:rRNA from 1 species